AUAUGUAUAUACAAAUAUACUUGUGUAGAUUCCUUUCUUUAUGAAUCUAUUUUUAAUGAUAACCAAUCUUGUUCUGUAGUUCAUGUAACAGAUUUUGAUUUUGAUGAUACUUCUUUUUUUGCAUAUCCAUUGGAUAGUAGUAGUAGUGAAGAAAGCUGUGCAGACAACGAAGAUAAAUCUUUCCAAAAAAAAUUUUCUAAUCUUGUGCAAAAACACAAUGUUUCCAAACAAUUUGUAGAAGAUCUUCUUAAGCUAUUAAGGGAAAUUAGCCAUUCAGAACUUCCUAAAUCAUAUCGAACAACAAUGCAUCUAACUUAAAAAUUCAAAAAAGAUCCCUUUGAGAAGCUACGGUUUCCACUAAGCGAUGCUGAGUACCAGAAACUGUCACUUGGUUUCUUGUGGGAGAUAAAAGAAAACGUUGUAAAUUGCCGUUGGCCAAUAGAAGAAAAGGAUAAUCAUGCAAUAAAAAUGAUGGCAACGAUGGAAGAUUUUAAUGCCUUUAAAAGAGAGUUGUUAGACGAACAGAAACGUUCAAUCAUGAGAAAAUCUUUACGUCAAGUCCGUGGUUUAGAUGCGAAAUACCAAGUAAAAAUGAUACUGGAAAGGUACACUUUCUAUUAGCUAAACAACAUUGCAGCUUUCUAGUCUUUAUUUUUGUUUAUGUUUGAUUCAUCUGUGUUGAUAAUAAUAUCGCCUGUUUUUAAAAUUUUAUGUUGUUAGGUAAAACAUCAUUAUAUUUCAGGCUAAAAUAGAGCUUUGAACAAUACGUUUAUCUUGUUUAAAUAAAUAACAACUCUGAAGGUAUAUUAGCUGAAUUAUCUUUUCGUUUUUGAUAGUCCUUAGUCAAUAACGGAUUUUUAAAUUGUUAUGGGUCUGCAACAUUUAAUUUCAAUAAAAUUAAAUUAAAAAGUUACGUCAUAGAAGACAAGAAAAAUAACAACAUCUGUUUUUGACUGUUUACCGUUGGACUUCUGUCCCAAUUUAACUAAGUGGAGACAAAAAGAAGGGGGUUGAAAAGGUCAGCCGUUUUUGAAUUAAUAGUCGAAGUCGCAGCCAGCUCGUAUAAAAAGACUUCUCGACGAGAAAUAGUUAAUUUUAUUCAGAGAAAGCUGAAGAACGCCCCUGAUCAAAUCGGCGGGUUGCGUAUGCAACAACGCCAAGAAACAGAGGAGAAAGCUCAAGAAACAGAGGAAAAAUAGGAUAGUGAAACUAAUGUGGAAUUUGGAGAUGAAUCUGCUGAUGACUCUUAAUUUAUUUAACUUAAUUUAACUUAAUUCAUUUAACUCUUAAUUUAAUUAAUAUAUUCUUAGGGGGUCCAUAAUCGUCUUUUUUUAGAUUUUUUAUAGUUU